UUAUGCCUACGGGGGGCAGCAGUAGGGAAUCUUCGGCAAUGGGGGCAACCCUGACCGAGCAACGCCGCGUGAGUGAAGAAGGUUUUCGGAUCGUAAAGCUCUGUUGGUAGUGAAGAAAGAUAGAGGUAGUAACUGGCCUUUAUUUGACGGUAAUUACUUAGAAAGUCACGGCUAACUACGUGCCAGCAGCCGCGGUAAUACGUAGGUGGCAAGCGUUGUCCGGAUUUAUUGGGCGUAAAGCGAGUGCAGGCGGUUCAAUAAGUCUGAUGUGAAAGCUUUCGGGUCAAACGG
rnacentral:rRNA from 1 species